rnacentral:sRNA from 1 species
UGUAUCUGAAGUCUGACGAGGAUGAGAACCUCCGGGGGCAAGAGGUUCGACUCGGGCGAAGCGAGAGAACGUUGCGUCAGCAACGGCCCGCAGGGCGAGCCACGCAGUGGCGAGUCAUCCUCUAUCACCGACCA